rnacentral:rRNA from 1 species
GACGAACGCUGGCGGCGUGCUUAACACAUGCAAGUCGAACGGAAAGGCCCUGCUUUUGUGGGGUGCUCGAGUGCCGAACGGGUGAGUAACACGUGAGUAACCUGCCCUUGACUUUGGGAUAACUUCAGGAAACUGGGGCUAAUACCGGAUAGGAGCUCCUGCUGCAUGGUGGGGGUUGGAAAGUUUCGGCGGUUGGGGAUGGACUCGCGGCUUAUCAGCUUGUUGGUGGGGUAGUGGCUUACCAAGGCUUUGACGGGUAGCCGGCCUGAGAGGGUGACCGGCCACAUUGGGACUGAGAUACGGCCCAGACUCCUACGGGAGGCAGCAGUGGGGAAUAUUGCACAAUGGGCGGAAGCCUGAUGCAGCAACGCCGCGUGCGGGAUGACGGCCUUCGGGUUGUAAACCGCUUUCGCCUGUGACGAAGCGUGAGUGACGGUAAUGGGUAAAGAAGCACCGGCUAACUACGUG